rnacentral:lncRNA from 7 species
CGGCCUGUGUGUCUACAGGGACCGGCCGGUCUCGCAGCGUUCCCUUCAUUCCUCUUCGUCCCCUGCAGCGACGUCCCGGUCGACACAACGCCACCAACACGAGCUGGUUUUCCGUCGCCGGAUCAUCGGAUAUCUCUGUGUGGUUUUGUACGGGGAAGGGACGCGUCGAAGUCGAAGUCAUCAAGGGCAAGGGCGCCGCCGAGAUCCAAGACCCCGGGAACUUGAUCCAAGGCAGCCAGGCGCAGGUUCCACCUCGACCGUCACUGCCCUGCGCCGCGCCAUCAGCGCCGUGGAGGUGGAUCGGAUCGGGGACGGAGAUGAUUAUCACCAUUUCGCACCACGGUAGUUAGCUCGUCCUUACGAUCGAGCUCGAGAGUUCAGACUGUGAUCUCCAUGGAUGAAGGUACUCUCCACGACUCCACGUAUGGCGUGUCCGCAGCUCGGGUAAGCAACCACGGAGGACGACGACGCACCUGCUAUGCAGCCGUAGCUAUCUUAGUACCCGAUCCCCUGACGAUCCGAUCCGAUCCAUCAUCCACACGCGUGUUCAUCCGCCACGACCACUCACUCGCGCC